rnacentral:tRNA from 1 species
GCCUGGGCAGCUCAGUCAGUUAAGCGUCUGACUUCAGCUCAGGUCACGUUCUCACCAUUCAUGGGUUCAAGCCCCGUGUCAGGCU